GCAGUCGAACGGAGAAUCAGCAAUGGUUCUUAAUGGCGAACGGGUGAGUAACGCGUAGACAACCUGCCUCAAAGAUGGGGACAACACCGCGAAAGUGGUGCUAAUACCGAAUGUUGCAUUGGAUUCGCAUGAAUCUGAUACUAAAGGUGGCCUCUUUAAAUGCUACCGCUUUGAGAUGGGUCUGCGUCUGAUUAGCUAGUUGGUGAGGUAACAGCUCACCAAGGCGAUGAUCAGUAGCCGGUCUGAGAGGAUGAACGGCCACACUGGGACUGAGACACGGCCCAGACUCCUACGGGAGGCAGCAGUGGGGAAUCUUCCGCAAUGGACGAGAGUCUGACGGAGCAACGCCGCGUGAGUGAAGAAGGUUUUCGGAUCGUAAAGCUCUGUCUUUGAGGACGAAUGUGCUUAAUGUAAAUAAUGUUAAGUAAUGACGGUACUCGAGGAGGAAGCCACGGCUAACUACGUGCCAGCAGCCGCGGCAAUACGUAGGUGGCAAGCGUUGUCCGGAAUUAUUGGGCGUAAAGCGCGCGCAGGCGGGAUAUUAAGUCUGUCUUAAAAAUUCGGGGCUCAACCCCGUGAUGGGAUGGAAACUAAUAUUCUUGAGUGCAGGAGAGGAAAGUGGAAUUCCCAGUGUAGCGGUGAAAAUGCGUAGAUAUUGGGAGGAACACCAGUGGCGAAGGCGACUUUCUGGACUGUGUCUGACGCUGAGGCGCGAAAGCCAGGGGAGUGAACGGGAUUUAUA
rnacentral:rRNA from 1 species